rnacentral:tRNA from 1 species
GACUGGCUGGCCCGGUUGGUAGAGCAUGUGACUCUUGAUCUCAGGGUUGUGAGUUCAAGUCCCAUGUUGGGCA